AAGUAUGUUUUGGAAAUGAGUGGGAUGAUUCAUACUCUCUCUCUCUCUCUGUGCUGCUGCCCAGUUCAAAGUUGAGCAGGCAAACCCAGACAGACCGAAACCCAAAAUUCACAAUCCUCCACUCAAGUAUCCCAAGUUAAUACACAAACCUUACCUUAGCCGUAGGUGGAGUUUGCAUAGAAAAUGAGUCAGGCAGCAAUAAUGGGUAGUGCAGUAGUACUAAGCAAAGCCAAUGCCACCUUGAAUUGGUGCGUCAACGCCUUUCUUCCAAGAUACCCUCCUCCACCUCCUAUUAUAUCUCUCCUUUCUUCCACUCCCACACUCUCUCGCUCUCUUCUCUCUACUAAAAGAUUCUCAACCAUGGAUGAUUCUAAAGCUAGCCCAACG